CAGCCGCCGCGGUAAUACGAAGGGGGCUAGCGUUGCUCGGAAUGACUGGGCGUAAAGGGCGCGUAGGCGGCGAUCAAAGUCAGGCGUGAAAUUCCUGGGCUCAACCUGGGGGCUGCGCUUGAUACUUGGUUGCUUGAGUGGGGAAGAGGGUCGUGGAAUUCCGAGUGUAGAGGUGAAAUUCGUAGAUAUUCGGAAGAACACCAGUGGCGAAGGCGGCUCACUGGCUCAUUCUAGACGCUGAGGUGCGAAAGCGUGGGGAGCAAACUGGAUUAGAUACCCCCGUAGUCCCUGUCUCUUAUAC
rnacentral:rRNA from 1 species